AAGAGAAGGGUUUUUAAUAGUUAUUUUGUAGAACAUUCUAACAUUUAUUGUUUUUACUACAAAUAAACAUUUCCUCUGCAAAUGGUAAAAACAUUCUAAUCUAAAUGAGUGACAUCUUGCCUUUUGUACAAUCCUAUUAAUGCAUAAACUACCAGAGAGCUAUGUUCUCUAGUCUUUCGUCAUAUCUUGAUCCUUUCAUUCACAUUUCUCAUUUUACUAGCAGC